AAAAAGGAAAGGACACAAGACAUAAACUUUAACUCCAGGAGAAAAGAUCUGAGUGUUUGUCUGAGUUUGGAUGAAAAUUGCACCAAUAAAAGAAUCACAAACACGUGCUUGAGAAGUUACUUUCGAUGUUUGACCCUGGAAAGUAGGUUUCCUACCAUCUGAUCUACGACUCCAACCAACACAACAAACUUCAGAUCCUGCAAUCCAAUCGGGGCUUUGGAAAUGCGUCUGCACUAUUUGCACCAAACGAGGGGGUCUGCAGCCAACACAACGUCAAGACCAACAGUGAUGAUAACAGUUGAGAAAUCAGGAUGAUAAUCUCCAACUGCUUCAUAAUUUUGAUGUUAUUUGUCCAGAAAUAAAGGUCGACAUCUUCUGAAGUUUCCUCUCUGCCAACCUUCUGUUACUGUGCUUGUUGUAGUUUAACUUUUUUACCUGACUGUAGGUGUCACAUUGGCAGUCGAACCAGGAAGUCAAUCAGCCAACACGUCAUGUGGAGUAGGUGUGAACUGUAAAGCGUGACCUUAUCUUCCCUCAUUGAUUCCCAGGUAUAACAUCAGAGGUCUCCAUAAAGGUUUGGCUAAAGAAAAGAACGUCCUGACUUGUCUGGUUCAAGUUGACGGUCCCCAUCAUGGCUGUCAGACUUCACAGCUUCCUUCAUGGUUCUGAACCAUCUCCCAGGAGACAGACGUCACACACAGAAAUGUUGGACUCCCCCUGACUCUGUGACUUUGACUUUAUGAUUUAAUUGGUCAAAACCCAAAAAUGACAAAGUUCGUCUUCGCCAAACAAGGAGAUAUUUUGGCGAUACAACAUCCAAGUGUACUGAACGCCGAAAGCUGUUCUGUACUCUCUUUAACAAGGAACAGUAAGAGCUCUCAAAGGGACUCUGAAGUCUCAUUCGGGGUCUCCUCUGGACCAUUCAUUCACACACAUUAGUCAACAUUACCCAGGAUACAAUGUCAAUUCAUGCUAUAUGCUGACGACUCCAAGGUUUAUCUGAACGUUUAGAGCCAAAUUCGGAAAAUCUGGUUUCAUUUUCUUCUUCAUUUCAGCCAAAUUUGUUUGAAGAUGAGAUAAAACAGUCUGACGAUGAAAAUAAAUCAGAUUAAAACUUUUAGUCGGACAAAGAAAGUCAAACAUGACAUUUUUAUACUAACAGGACACCUGAUUUCAUGAGAAAAUUGACUUUGCUGAUCACCAAACUAAACGGACUGUCAAAUAAAAGAAAAGUGAGAAAGUUUUCGCUCUAACUGUCCUCAGGGUGACGAGUCCAGAAAUACUCCUUCAGCGUCUUGUGUGGAUGGGUCUUCAUGGUAAAAGAAAUCAACGUUGUACUUUCCAAAAGCUUUUUUUAUUUUAUAUACUUUAAACUUCAGAGUUUUAUGUGAUCAGUAACUGAAAGUGCCACCAAAGUUUUGGCAAACUAACUGGUAAAACACAGAAAAUCCCGGUCGAUGAGGACACAGCAGCCGCAGGGAAAAAAGUCUUGGCACAAAGAGCGCCAGAUCAAACAUUGGAGAGCGACUCAAAACAAGAGCAGAAAGAGACGAAGAAAGCGAAAAGAGGGAACUGUGGACAUAACAAAGAGACAUUUCAUCUGAGACGCUUCUGUGAUCCGAGUUCAGAUCAUGAGAAUACCAAAAAAUAUCCUAAAAGGCCCUGAAGGCUCUCACCACAAAAGUUAAACAUGCCUUAUCGUGGUCCUAGAGAGUUUUCUGAAGAAAUAAAGACAUGGAAGUAUGGAAGGGUGAGGGGAGUGAGCAGAUACGUAAGAAGACACAAGGGUACGAUGGUAUCAAAAAACGACAAGAAAAAUAAACAUACAGUUAGCACACAGGCAUGAAGGAAGCCGGGAAUUCAUCAUGGCGACACCUAACAACCAGAGAAAUCAAACAACCAGACGAUGUGUCACUCUGCUAAUGCCCUCACAUUUUUUUCCAUCAUUUAAUCACAACAGAUACGAUCAUCCUGUCUGGAAAAACUCAUGCACAGUUACAAUGAGGCACCGCGGACUCAUCCAGGACCACGACAUUCCUGUAAAACAGUCAGCGAUCACCCACGUAACCUUUUAAACACGGGCCGUAUACGUGUCAAAGCUGUUAGUCCCUGUGCUUCCUCCGGUUACAAACCAACUCAAUCAAUCAAUCUUCAUUUGUUCAUUUACUGCUGAUUCACAGCAAGUGCUUUUCCUAGACGCUUGACAAAAAAGCUCCAUCCUGUAAGAUCAGACAAACUCCCAUCCUGUCUUUAACCACAUUAAUUAAACACUUUACAGCAUUUCCAAAGUUACAGAGGAGAAGAAGAACUUCCUUUAACAGGCAGAGACCUCGAGCGUGACCAGACUCGUUUAGUCAACUACACAUUAGACUUUCUGAUUGUUCUUUUAUGGUUUUCAUUCUGAGCGUACAGGAAACCAAGAAACUAAAACCCAAGACAGAAAAAAUUCAAAAUAAAAGCCUGAAAAACAAUCAUUCAAUGAGGCGAUGUCUUCUCCAGAGAAGUGUCAGUCACAGGGCUGACGAUAAAUCAGACAUUUAACUAUUAAUAGAGGUAUAGAUGGUAGCAUGUCAGGUAAAUGUAAUUAGUAAAGCUAAUGUUGCUCACCUUUGUUUUUGCCCGUUCUUAAUUUAACUGAUUUUAUUUCUUAAAUUUUCAUAAUACUGUGAUACUGUAACGCGAUAUUUCAUGACCAUGAUCAGGUGAGGUGACAAUCUGAUAAAACUACAGCCUUAAUACAGAUGGAUCCGGAAAUUUCUGCAGAUAUAAAAGUGUUGCAUCCAUUGUGUUUAUAUGCAGUGACAGCUUUUGCACGUUGGUUGCAAAGAAAUGUUUAGAGACAGCAACGGCCUUACUAGAUGUCUAUAUUUAAAUUAAUUAAAAAAAAACUAAUUAAUCGCAAUACCAGGGCUCGACAGUGUGACCGUUUCACUCGCAUUUGUGACUAAAAAUAGAUGUGUGCGAAUUGUAAAAUGUAUUUAGGGUCACAUGUGCGCAUAAAAAAAAUCAGGCGAGGCAACAAAUGUUUUUUCUUGUAAAUACGGCGGUGAAGUUAGUUUCAGGUUGGAUAUAUUUUCCUGUAAAUACGGCGGUGAAGUUAGUUUCAGGUUGGAUAUAUUUUCCUGUAAAUACGGCGGUGAAGUUAGUUUCAGGUUGGAUAUAUUUUCCUGUAAAUACGGCGCUGAAGUUAGUUUCAGGUUGGAUAUAUUUUCCUGUAAAUACGGCGGUGAAGUUAGUUUCAGGUUGGAUAUCUGACGGACAUUCUCUGAGGAUCUACCGGUGUCUUCUCACUCUCCAUAACCGGGAAUAACAACAGCAGCGCGGUUAAAUCUACUCGACACCCUCACUGUCAACGUCGGUGUUGAAUAAGGGACCAUCAAUAAAUUACCGGUUUAUGUUCUCAGAAAAGGCUGUUUUCCUUCAAUGGCUUCACUGUCAUGUGACCAAAAGACCUAAAAUUGAUAUCAAAUAAUGAUACUUAUUUUGACCAAUUUCGACACACAUUAUAUGAUCAAUUUUCAUUGUGCCCCUAAAGUUCUAAAGAGCACAUGUGCUCUGUGUGAAAAAAGUUAGUGUCCACCCCUGAAUAAUAGAAAAAAUAAACCGUUUUUCUUGCUUGACGUUUAGUUUUAGAAGUGUUGCAUUCCUCCACAUGAAGAAAAGUUGCAUUUAUAUGGUUAGAGAUUUAUUGGCAUGUCUAAAAUUGGCAAAAAGCCAAUCUUGUGCUUUCCUAAUUAGUAUUCAUGAAGAUAAAACUGAAGGGUAAAUUCUCAUAGUCCUCAGAUUCAAGUAAGAAAACUGUAUGUGUUCGCAAACAUGUAAACAAGCGAAGCUACAGAUGAACACCCCCACCCCCCAAGUCUUGGAAAUUUGCAUAACAUAAAAAGGGAGCGCCUCAUGUUGGAGUUUAAUAUACGAGGAGAGACAGUUGGCGUACUGUACAUACAGUUAGCUCAUGUAUGUAUAAUGAUGCCGUGUAGCUGAGGAAGACCACAUGACGUGAAAACGCCUGGCGGCGUUCCCUCAGAUCUCCCUGCCCUGUUCUUGCCGUGGUGUGUCAUCAGGAAGGCUGGGAGUCGCGCCAGCUUCUGACCUCCUUCCAUCUCACGAGCCUCCCUUGUUGUUGUAAGGCCCAGUCACGUCUGAUGGGAUUACAUCCACUCUUAUGUAAGACUCGGCAAGUCCAGACGUGUACUCCUCAGUAUGUGCAGGAAUCUGCCUGAGUGAGGCGGUUCAGAACAAGAUGUUCCCAAGACGUGAUGCAGCAUUAAUGAGGAAUGUCAGGCAGCAACAAAACA